rnacentral:piRNA from 1 species
UAGCUUUUGCUCCCCCUCCCUAUGC